rnacentral:RNase_P_RNA from 1 species
GUAAGCCGGCUGGGGGUGCCCGGGUUCGCCCGGAGGAAGCUCCGCUUACACGGGGGCUACAACCGCCGUAAGGCGGUAGGGCGAGAGCCCUGGCUCUGGAUCAGAAACGAGACCCCCUUUAACAGAUGAGAAUGACCGCGGCGAAGUCUCUCCGGUAACGGGGGGACGAGCUAACCCGCAGACGAUGUUAAAGGAGUGGGUGAAACGGCCAACCUGUAGCAGGCCUCGGUCGGAUGAUAUCCCCGUGUAGAGGCCGAGGUCCAAGAUAAAUCCCCCAAGUACAGAAAGCGGGCUAUAGCCGGCUUAC